GACGAACGCUGGCGGCGUGCUUAACACAUGCAAGUCGAACGAAGAGCGACGGAAGCUUGCUUCUAUCAAUCUUAGUGGCGAACGGGUGAGUAACGCGUAAUCAACCUGCCCUUCAGAGGGGGACAACAGUUGGAAACGACUGCUAAUACCGCAUACGAUCUAAUCUCGGCAUCGAGGAUGGAUGAAAGGUGGCCUCUACAUGUAAGCUAUCACUGAAGGAGGGGAUUGCGUCUGAUUAGCUAGUUGGAGGGGUAACGGCCCACCAAGGCGAUGAUCAGUAGCCGGUCUGAGAGGAUGAACGGCCACAUUGGGACUGAGACACGGCCCAGACUCCUACGGGAGGCAGCAGUGGGGAAUCUUCCGCAAUGGACGAAAGUCUGACGGAGCAACGCCGCGUGAGUGAUGACGGCCUUCGGGUUGUAAAGCUCGGUUAAUCGGGACGAAAGGCCUUCUUGCGAAUAGUGAGAAGGAUUGACGGUACCGGAAUAGAAAGCCACGGCUAACUACGUG
rnacentral:rRNA from 1 species